rnacentral:sRNA from 2 species
GCCACGACCGACCCCCUCACCUCGGUCGAACCUCGGCGAACCAACGCGGCAACGCCAGCCCAUGAUCAUUUGAUUGGGUCCACGGAAGCAGG